rnacentral:rRNA from 1 species
GACGAACCGUGCGAACGUUAUUCGGAAUCAUCGUGGGCUUAAAGCGCGUGUAGGCGGGUCGGCACGUCGGUCGGCUGAAACUCCCCCGGCUCAACCGGGAAGGGCGCCGAUACGACCGACCUGGAGGAACGUAGGGGGAGCUGGAACUUCCGGUGGAGCGGUGAAAUGCGUUGAGAUCGGAAGGAACGCCCGUGGCGAAAGGCGAGCUCCUGGACGUUUUCUGACGCUGAGGACGGCGAAAGCCAGGGGAGCCGAACGGG